UUAACAUAAACCAACGUUUUUAUCAUAUUUAUGUCCGCAUUAUACUGAGAAUUUAAAAGGCAAAUAAGGGUUAAAGGAAGGAGGGCUUCUCGCAUCAGCAAUUAUUACGAGAUGUUUUCCAAAUGAGAGUCUACAGUCGAACCGUUAUCGUGUAACGUUGUUGUUCUCGUCGCUGUGUAAACUCACACAGAUAUUUGGACUGUGAUGCAAGUUGCACUAUUUUUUAUUAACUCCAAGUAUUAAAUAAUGAAGACAAUUUGAUUCGCCCUGUGAGACAAUAUGAAUCGAUACCCGUACUGUAGCACCAGUUCGUCGAAGAAACGAUAUCAUCGUUUGAUAAUGACAUAGUUGAUUUCUCUUUAACGGUAAAAAUUUGUUAAGUGUUACACGUGCCUCUUCAAAAGUGCAUUUUCUGUUUCGAGAACUGAAUCACGGCUUGAAACGAUGUCUCCAGCAUUCUAUCGCUUCGCUUCUCUCGUUGGCUAGCGUAAAGGUGGUGCUUGUAUUUUGAUCCCUCUCGUGUUUUGACGAGCCAAUAUCUAUUCAGGUUAAAGGAUUAAGUAUUGCGUUCCACAGGAUUAUAAAUGACUCGAAAAACAGCGAUGAGUCCUCAAAGUUAUAAAAAUCACACAACAGCUAAAGCUAUGGCAUCAAAUGGUUACAGUGGUACUGAGCCUCCAGUUAAGGAGCUCAAAAACCAUUCAUCUCCUUGUGAGUCUUUCAAGUCAAUGCCAUGGUUCGGUAUGGACAUAGGAGGUACACUGUCCAAGUUAGUUUACUUCGAACCUAAAGAUAUUACAAGAGACGAAGCAGAUUCAGAAAUGGAAACGUUGAAGAAUAUUCGCCGGUAUUUAACUAAAAAUUCAGCAUAUGGAAAAACAGGUCAUAGAGACACACAUUUGCAAAUGGAUAAUGUUUGCAUGAGAGGUCGACGCGGUACCUUACAUUUCAUCAGGUUCCCUACAAGUGAGAUGGGGAACUUUUUAGCAUUAGCACGUUCCAAAGGAAUGGCAAAUCUUGUAACAACAGUUUGUGCCACCGGCGGUGGAGCAUACAAGUUUGAAAAGAAUUUUAUACAAGAAGUAAACAUGAACUUAGCAAAAUUUGAUGAACUAGAUAGUUUAAUACGUGGUAUCCUUUAUAUGGAGACAACAAAUCCACAUGAAUGCUAUUACUGGUCUCAUCCUACGGAUGAUAGUAAAUGCCAGAAGAUUCCAUAUGAUUUUUCUGAACCUUAUCCGUUUGUACUUGUAAAUGUAGGGUCAGGCGUAAGCAUAUUAGCAGUUUACGGGCCAGACAAUUAUAAAAGAAUAUCUGGUACCAGUCUAGGUGGUGGUACGUUUUUAGGAUUAUGUUGCUUAUUAACCGGAUGCAACACUUUUGAAGAGGCAAUAGAAUUAGCAACCAGCGGUGAUAAUAGUAGAGUCGAUAAGCUCGUUAAGGACAUUUAUGGUGGGGAUUACGGGCGUUUCGGUCUUCCUGGAGAUCUUGUCGCCAGCAGUUUCGGACAGAUGAAUUCUAAAGAUCGGCGGAAUGCAGUUAGCAAAGAGGAUCUCGCACGUGCUACGCUUGUUACAAUUACAAACAAUAUUGGUUCUAUCGCGCGUAUGUGCGCAGUGAAUGAAAAAAUUGAAAAGGUAGUGUUCGUAGGGAACUUCCUUAGAGUAAACCCUAUAUCGAUGAAACUUCUGGCCUAUGCUAUGGACUAUUGGUCUAAAGGAACGAUGAAAGCUUUGUUCUUAGAACAUGAGGGUUAUUUUGGUGCAGUAGGAUGUCUGCUCCAAUUUAAUGGUGAAACAAACUAAAACUCCUAGGUAGAUGAAUAAUAUGUGACGCGCGUAUCCCGAGUCGGCGGGUUAGGUGCGCCGCCGAGUGGUUACGCGGUCCUCGUAUGUACAUAUU